UUCAUUUCAUCACAACAUAAAAGUUGGCACAUAACAGGUUUAAGGAGAUGCAACAUAAUGAAGCAUAUUAGUAUUACACAAGCAUAAUGAGGAAAGAAGUUAUUCCUCAAUAAUAAUAUUCCUAAAAUAAACAAUUCAGGUUGGCAAACAAAAUAAAUUCUCCACACUUGGUAUGCAGAUCAAGUUUGUUUCCCCCGUUAUUUGUCAACAAGAAUUCCAGUAGCAAAAUAAAGCUUAAACCUUGAACUUUGAUAUACAUUUACUCUGGCUGAGCUAAGACGUCACUAUUGCAUCAGAUUUGGAAUGUAACUGCAGCAAUUUAGUUAAAAGUCUAUUUAGCAUUUGUGCUACUAGCGCCAUCUAGUGUUUGUUGGCGUGAAGUUCCUUCCCUUUUAAUUUUUGUUGUAUAUGGAAAAUUGUAUAAUUCUUGCGAAACAAAGGAAAAUGUGAUCAAACCGUGAUGAAAACAUGUCUAUCUCGUUGUCGCGCAUGACUUUAAUUAGUUUAAGCUUAAUGCGUUACACUUUGCUGGAACUAAUUCCGCAAUUAGCUUAGAUUCGCUUGCUACGCAUUCAACUGCUUUUUACGUAGUUCUCUGUCAUGCAAAUUUGAUAAAUUAAAAACUGUUGCCAAUUGUUGUAAAUGUACAUAGAUAAAUGAUGUAAAAUGAAUUUGGAAUGCUCGCUGUUUAAUGAGCCAAUAUGAUAAAUGAACUAAUGAAUCAGUGUGCCACACAUAGACACACACACAAUAUCACACUUAGAGGGUGCUUGAAAAAAUGUGCCAAGAAAAUGUUUU